AUGAGAUGGAGCUGUUUUAUCUUCUUCUUGGUGGCAGUAAUUACAUGUGCCAACUCCCAGGUCCAGCUACAGCAGUCUGGAGCUGAGCUGGUGAGGCCUGGGGCAUCAGUGAGGAUAUCCUGCAAGGCUUCGGGCUAUAAGUUCACCGACCACAUUAUGAAUUGGGUAAAACAGAGGCCAGGACAGGGCUUUGAGUGGAUUGGAAGGAUUUAUCCUGUAAAUGGUGACGCUAACUACAAUCCAAAGUUUAUGGGAAAGGCCAAAUUUACUGUAGACCAGUCCUCCAGCACAACAUACAUGGAGCUCAGCAGCCUGACAUCUGAGGACCCUGCUGUCUAUUACUGUGGAAGGCACAGUGUUGCAACCACAUCUUGA